ACUACGGGAGGCAGCAGUGGGGGAUAUUGCACAAUGGGGGGAACCCUGAUGCAGCGACGCCGCGUGGGUGAAGAAGCGCCUCGGCGCGUAAAGCCCUGUCAGCAGGGAAGAAAAUGACGGUACCUGAAGAAGAAGCCCCGGCUAACUACGUGCCAGCAGCCGCGGUAAUACGUAGGGGGCAAGCGUUAUCCGGAUUUACUGGGUGUAAAGGGGGCGCAGACGGCGGUGCAAGCCAGGAGUGAAAGCCCGGGGCCCAACCCCGGGACUGCGCUUGGAACUGCGUGGCUGGAGUGCAGGAGGGGCAGGCGGAAUUCCUGGUGUAGCGGUGAAAUGCGUAGAUAUCAGGAGGAACACCGGUGGCGAAGGCGGCCUGCUGGACUGCAACUGACGUUGAGGCCCGAAAGCGUGGGGAGCAAACAGGAUUAGAUACCCGAGUAGUC
rnacentral:rRNA from 1 species